UCUCGGUCUGUCAAACUCCGGCAGGUUUGCCAGUUUUCCUGCACCUACUAGAAACAUGCAGGCAGCAGCGAUGCCCAGAAAAAAGACCAAAACAAAGAAGCAUAAGAAAGAUCGAAAGAAACGCAGACCAUCAACAUCCUCCUCUAAGGAUCAGGUUAAAGAUGACGCAGAGAGACACAGAGGCAGUCGGAGUGACAAUAACAAGCUUGUGAGCAGCAAAAGCACUGACUGUCCACGAUCACCAAGGGAAAUGGGGGCAAAUAGUGGGACGUACAAAACCUCAGACAGAAAAAGCAUGAAGGAUAAAACAGAAGGAAACAAAGAGUCUCAUGACAGCAAGCACAGGGCAUUACACACCUUUGGGAAGCACUCCUCCUCACAACAUUACACAUCUACCUCAACAAAGAGCUCCAGCAGCCAAAUUCCUGAAGCCCUAACCGGAGAGAGGCAUGAGUGGAGGAAGAGUCUGGGUAAAGAGCCAGGAAAGAGACCAGAUGAGGAAGAAGAAAAGAGAAAGAAAGUCAUGAAAAGAAAGGCAUCACAAGAAGACGAUUACCCAGCAACCAAGCGAAGAUCCUGUAACGAAGAGACUGAUGCUGGAAGCAGAGAUAGAAAGGAGUUAGUAGAGAUAGGCUGCAGGAAGUCAACUGAAGAGCGUAUCUCAGGAUGGAAACACAGCAGUCCGGAGAAAAGUCAAAGCCAACACUUGUCUAAAAAAUCUAAAAACCAAUCAUCUGCAGUUACACAAAAUGUCAGAAUGAAAUUGCAGAGUAAGGGACACCCAGAGUCCGUCUAUCCCACUGUCUCUAAAGAAUCAUCGUCUUCGUCACCGUCAUCAUCUUCUACUUCUCUAAAAAUCUCUUUCAAGAUCCCAAAGAAGACUAGUAUUAUAAAGUCACAGACAAGCACAGCCUGUUGGGAAAAUGUUAAAAAGUCUCCCAUCAGCAGUAAGUGUUCUCCUAAGACCAUAGACUCUCCAUCUGUGAAGGUUUCUUCUGAACUAACCAGACCAAAGCCUACAGAGGUUCCUUCUCCAGUUCCUUCCCGUUCUCCUCCUGUCCAGAGGGUGCAGUCGAGUAGAACGGAGGAGACGAGUGUUGCAUGCAGCAGUAAUGCUUUAGUAGAAUGUGCUACGUGUUAUAUUUCAGCGGCGUCCACCGUAAACACUGAUGAUUAUGAGAUGCAGAUAGUUGAGGAGUUACACCUGGCUCGCUCUAACAGACAGCUACACGUGAAAGUGGAGAUGAGUUACGGAGAGCUGACCAGUAUGGACGUAGACCCUGCAGACGAGAGCACCGCCAUCACUGCACUCGGUCAGAAGCAGCAGCAGCAUCAGCAGCAGGUACUCUUCAUUGUGCUCGACACUAAUGUUCUCCUCAGCCACCUGGACUUUGUGAAGAGGAUUAGAUCCCAUGGACUUGGAGCUCUUGGAUUCCCAACUCUCCUAAUUCCCUGGGUCGUUCUACAGGAGCUGGACUCGUUGAAAAGUGGGAAACUGUCAAAGAAUGUUGAAAAGAAAGCCAGACCGGCUGUCAACUACAUCUACACCUCCCUGAAGAACCAAGUGCCACGUCUCUGGGGCCAGUCCAUGCAGCAAGUGUCUCAAGCUUCCUGUGGGCUGAACUCUGAGAAUAACGACGAUCGAGUGCUGCAAUGCUGCCUGCAGUACAAGGCGUUGUAUCCAGAGGGCACUAUCAUUCUGUGCACUAACGAUAAGAACCUGUGCAGUAAAGCUCUCCUGAGCGGAGUCAAGGCCCUGAGUAAAGUCGAUCUAGAGCAGCAGGCAGAAGUAAACCCUGAUCUGUUUCAUCAGCACUAUGACCAGACGUCUGCUUAUACGCAUCCAGCACCAGUUAUACAACACCAGGAAGAGAAGGCACAAAGGUCACGUGAAGAGGUGGAGGCGAGCAGGAAGAAGGAGAAGGAGCGGGAACUGAGCGAGUGUGUGUCCGUGCUGGAGAACAGCCUGCAGAGUGCUCUGUCCGCCAUCCUGGAGGAAGAGAUGAAGGCUGCCUUUGGAGAGCUGUGGCUAGAGAUAGUUUACGUGAAGCCUCCGUGGAGUCUGGAUGCUUUGCUGCAAUGUUUCCGGAAGCACUGGAUCGCCGUGUUUGGAGUCAUUGUCAGAAGAAGUCUGAUCGGUUGUGUGGAGACACUCAGCAGUUUUGUCCACACAGAAGUGUCAGUGGAACGCAGGACCAUUCUGCACACAGUGUCUGUGGCCGAGGAGCUUCUUACCGAGCUGCGCUGCAGGUCUCCGUACGGAGGCCACGUGGACUCGGCCCUCUCCUGCCUCAAGACCUUACAACACCGACUGCAAGCCAAGCCUGAGAAAUCCCCAGUGGUUGACCGAGGUGGUGACACUCUAAUGGCUGAUGCAGUUCAGGAUGUAGCUCUUCCUCCACAAGCUUCUCAUCAGGAAGUGUGGGCUUUAUUCGAAAGCAUCUGGAACAAUGUGUGCCAUGUCAGCUCAGCUGUGUUCUCAGCACUGCACUUCUCUCCAGGCUCAGUGGGCUCAGCAGAGCCACGGUCCACGCCGCCUCCCCAGGAUGCCCUCAGCUGCCUCCACAGACUCAAUGCCACUCUCGAGCAGCUGCUGGAGGCCUUCCAGAGGUUACUGUCUGUGGGCAGCUCUGUAGACGAUGCUCAGGCUCUGCUUACUUUUAUUCACACUAGUGAGAUCGUUGCUAUGGAGCCACGCUUCAGUGCCAAAGACCUGUUUGAGUGCCUGUCUCACCACGAGUACAGCAGUGCUAAUGCUGAGCUUCUCUGGGAUUGACAACAGCAGCUGGAAAGAAAGACGUAUUCCUGACUAAUGCAGAUUCUGUAAUUACUCUUUCACGCUGACGCAACCACUUCCUGUAUAAGAACACAAUGUUUCCUGUUUGCAAGUUGGUGGUGUGGAACGGAAAUCUUUGCUGAGUUGCGUUUCAGAUGGAAGUAGUCACAGAGGACACGACACGUAUCACAAGAUAUUGCUGGAAAUACAAGAAUGCUGUGUGUCUAGAUGCUGUUUUGAGUCCGUUUCAAGAAUCGGGAGAAGCUGUGUAUAGGUGGAGCGCAGAUGAUGGAACUGAGGGAGAACCUCCAUCGCUGCGCAGCCGCCAUGUGUGGUGCGAAAACCUAAAGUCGGCAAACGACCUGGCUCACUCAUUUGUUUACAAAUAAACCAAACCAGAGUGUGUGUGUAUAUAUAUAUAUAUAUAAUCAGUCAGCUGAUUAAUACACUAUAUGAGUGCCUCUAUAUGAGAUCUGAGCUGGUGAGCGUUCUUUAGCGGUUGGAACGCAUUUCUGGUUCGUUCUGCGUUCGUGUGAGGACCAGAUCCCAGUGUUAAACCUGAUUUCUACACUUAAUAUUGCUGCUGUUAGUUCCGGAUGAGUUGCAGAAAAUUGCUUUCUCAUGUUCGUGGCCUGCCCUUUUCUUUUUACUGUAUCUGACCAUUCUGCUGUGAACGCAGGAUGUUUUUUGUUUUUGUUUUUUUUAAAUGUUUUCAUCAAUAGUUGCUGUAGGUGGAGAUCAUUGUGGAAACUACCUCGAAAUAAAAAAUUGCAGCCAUGUUUAAAGACUUAAAAGCCUUAACAUUUGUAAUAAUUAGUCAAAUCUAGUGGGGACCCAUUCGUUCAUUCAUUCAUUUUAUUUAUUUUUUUUUAUUAUUCGGAUUUUAGGGAUACAGCAGGCAUUUACAGUAAAAUGUAACAUAAAGGAUUGAACCACUUACACAUUAUUUCUUCAACCCGCAUUUCAUCCGAAUUUUAUGUCAAGGCUUCACUUCUCUCCGUUCCUCCACAUGUUCAUUUGUUAAAUCUGUUCAUUCACUGAGAAUGUAUAGAUUUAUGCAGGGUUUUUUUUUUUUAGCACUGUUAUACCUGUUAUUGUUGAGCAUGGUUUAUUCUGUUUUCUAUGACAAAUGCAUUUUAUAUCCAUGUUAAAAAAAAUCCAUGCUGUCAUUAAAUCCUAUAUUUAUUUCUGCCUUAAACAGGAGUUGUGUGUGUCAUGUCUUUGCCGUACAACAGAGUCAUGUUUGCCACUGAUUUGAAGACCGAACAGAGAUAGACAGACAGACAGCUGAGACUAGCUGUAAAAGGAUCAGGACGAGGCAGUGGAAGAACGGAGAGAUUACACUGUCUUUCAUUAACAUAGGUAAGAUCUCUGACGCAACUGCAAGAUGAGGUCAUGACAGGAUCCGGCUUUCUCGUCACCACGUGGUCGUCGGAUCACGGCGUAAGCAAGAGUCAAGGCAGGAACUUUAGAGUUUAAAUAAGGUGAGACUCAUUUUCACAGGGUUUAAAGUGUACAUUUAGAAAACAUGACAAAUUAUCUUUAAUUCAUUACAUAUGCAGAUAUAUUCAGGAAAAUAAGCACACUUUAAUAGACCACAAAAAAAAAAAAGAAUAGUGAUAUUCAAGCUUUUUCAAACACAAAGUUUUCAUUUUGUGUGACUUUAAUAUGAUUCAGAAGGAUGUUCAUCAUAGCGAAAGCUCAGUUUAUGGCUAAGUCAGAACCUCUUGGCAGAGGCAAGCAAGACUGCAUGUUGCUCCCAAUCCCGACAAGAUUCUCUGAACCACCAGCACAAAACGUCCCAGAAGAACCACUGAUCCACCUCCAUGUUUACAGAGAACCAGAAGCUUCUGCUUUUCCACACAGUCUUCUUUUGUUGCCAAACAUGCUGCUUGAGCGAAAAUUUUUAUUUUGCAGAAAGCAAGACGGCUUGUGGAACCUUUUCCCUCCUUCCUGUCAAUUUUUUAACAAUUUUUUUUUUUGUUAUUUAUAUGGUACCAAUUGCACUAAAUAUACACUCUGUUACAUGAUCUGUGCAUGAUAGCAAAUCCUUUCGGUCUCCUGAGCACCCUGUUUUCAUAUGUAGAGCAAAUAAAUCAAAGUCCA